rnacentral:rRNA from 1 species
CAUGUCUAAGAACAUAUCGGCGAAUGGUGAAUCUGCGAACGGCUCAUUAUAACAGCAAUAAUUUACUCGGUCUUUUAUCCUAAAUGGAUAACUGCGAUAAUUUUGGAGCUAAUACGUGCACUAAAGCGCUGAACGCAAGUGACGCGCGCAUUUAUUAGAAUAAGACCAAUAUGGGCUAACGCCCAUUUUGGUGACUCUGAAUAACUAUCGCUGAUCGCAUGGUCUAGCACCGGCGACAUUCCGAUCGAGUUUCUGCCUUAUCAACUUUUGAUGGCAGUCCAUGUGACUGCCAUGGUUGUAACGGGUAACGGAGAAUCAGGGUUCGACUCCGGAGAGGGAGCCUGAGAAACGGCUACCACAUCCAAGGAAGGCAGCAGGCGCGUAAAUUACCCACUCUCAAUACGAGGAGGUAGUGACUAUCAAUAACGAGACAGGACUAAUUUAGUCUUGUUAUCGGAAUGGGAACAAUCUAAACCCUUUAUCGAGAACCUAUGAGAGGGCAAGUCUGGUGCCAGCAGCCGCGGUAAUUCCAGCUCUCAAGGCGUAUAUCGUCAUUGCUGCGGUUAAAAAGCUCGUAGUUGGAUCUGAGUUCACGAUCGCGGUACCGCAUUGCGGAAAACUGUGUGUCUGAACUAUUAUGUCGGUUUUCUGCGGUUACCCUUGUGGAGCCGUAGUGGCUGGCGUGAUUACCUUGAAUAACUCAGGUUGUUCAUGAAAGGCUAAUUGCCUGAAUGAUUUUGCAUGGAAUAAUGGAAUAAGACUUCGGUCUGUUUUGUUGGUCUUGAGACCGUUGUAAUGAUUAAAAGAGAUUGUCGGGGACAUCCGUAUCGAUGCGUGAGAGGUGAAAUUCUUGGACCGCAUCGGGACGUCCAACUGCGAAAGCAU